rnacentral:rRNA from 1 species
UACGAAGGGGGCUAGCGUUGCUCGGAAUCACUGGGCGUAAAGCGCACGUAGGCGGACUUUUAAGUCGGAGGUGAAAUCCCCGAGCUCAACUCGGGAACUGCCUAGGAGACCUCAGUACUAGAGUACUGAAGGGGUUACUGGAAUUCCAUGUGUAGCGGUGAAAUGCGUAGAUAUAUGGAGGAACACCUGUGGCGAAGGCGGGUAACUGGUCAGAGACUGACGCUGAGAAACGAAAGCGUGGGGAGCAAACAGG